GGAGGGUCCUUGGUGGGCUGUCUGGGCUUCAACACC
rnacentral:tRNA from 14 species